rnacentral:rRNA from 1 species
UUGUUAGUAUAGAUUACUAUUGAUACUGCAACGGGUAACGGGGGAUUAGUGUUUGAUUCCGGAGAGGUAGCAAUAAAAAUAGCUGCUACAUCUAAGGAUGGCAGCAGGCGCGUAAAUUACUCAAUGAUUAUAUUUGAAGUAGUAAAAGUGAUUACUUUAUGUAUUUUACAUUAAGUUAACUGAGAUCUAAAUAGUCUUAAGAAAAACUGGAGGGCAAGUCUGGUGCCAGCAGCCGCGGUAAUUCCAGCUCCAGAAGUAUAUAUUUGUUCUGUUGUCAUUAAAACGCUUGUAGU